rnacentral:rRNA from 1 species
GUCUUUUUGAAAAUAAUUUAAAGUCUGACCUGCCCAAUGAUUAUAUUGAAUGGCCGCAGUAUUUUAACUGUGCGAAGGUAGCAUAAUCAUUAGUUUUUUAAUUGAAAGCUGGAAUGAAUGGUUUGAUAAAAAAAUAACUGUCUCAAUUAAAAUUAUAGAAUUUUAUUUUUAAGUUAAAAAGCUUAAAUUUUUUAAAAAGACGAGAAGACCCUAUAGAGUUUAAUUUAUUAAUAUUUUUUAAAUUUUAAGUUUUUAAUUUUUUUAAUUUUUUAAUAAAUUUUAUUGGGGUGAUAAAAAAAUUUAAUAAACUUUUUUUUAUUUUUACAUUAAUAAAUGAAUAUUUGAUCCUAUAAUUUAGAUUAAAAGAAAAAAUUACCUUAGGGAUAACAGCGUAAUUUUUUUUAAGAGUUCAUAUCGAAAAAAAAGAUUGCGACCUCGAUGUUGGAUUAAAGUGAAAUUUUGGUGUAGAAGUUAAAAUUUUUAAGUCUGUUCGACUUUUAAAACUUUACA